rnacentral:rRNA from 1 species
GCCAGCAGUCGCGGUAAUACGUGGAAGACAAGUGUKAUUCAUCUUUAAUAGGUUUAAAGGGUACCUAGACGGUAUUUUUAGCCCAAAAUAGGGUACGGAUUUACUAGAGUUUAGAUGUGAGAAGGGGAGUAUUUUUAGUGUAGAGAUGAAAUUCUGUCAUACUUCAAGGACUGGCAAAGGCGCAAGCAACCUUCUAUGUAAAAACUGACGUUGAGGGACGAAGGCUUGGGUAGCAAUAAGGAUUAGAUACCCUAGUAGUCCAUGCARAGAAUUAUGAAUGCCACACGCUAGAUUUAUUUAGUGUGUAAAUAAAARUGUAAGCAUUCCACCUCAAGAGUAAUGUGGCAACGCARGAACUGAAAUCAUUAGGCCGUUUCUGAAACCAGUAGUGAUGUAUGUUAUUUAAUUCGAUGAUCCUCGAAAAACCUUACCACAAUUUGUAUAGUUACAAGCGCUGCACGGCUGUCUCCAGUUAAUGUCGUGAGAUUUUGGUUACRCCUAUAAAUUAACGUAAACCCUUACUUUAUUUAAUUUUUUUAAUAAAGUACUUGACCGCUAUAUUGGUUAUUAUAAAAGGGACUAANACAAGUCAUCAUGGCCUUAAUAUUGUGGGCUAUAGACGUGCCACAUA